UGGGGAAUAUUGGACAAUGGGCGAAAGCCUGAUCCAGCAAUGCCGCGUGAGUGAAGAAGGCCUUCGGGUUGUAAAGCUCUUUUACCCGGGAAGAUAAUGACUGUACCGGGAGAAUAAGCCCCGGCUAACUCCGUGCCAGCAGCCGCGGUAAUACGGAGGGGGCUAGCGUUGUUCGGAAUUACUGGGCGUAAAGCGUACGUAGGCGGCUUUCUAAGUCAGAGGUGAAAUCCCACGACUCAAUCGUGGAACUGCCUUUGAGACUGGAUCGCUUGAAGAUGGGAGAGGUAAGUGGAAUUCCGAGUGUAGAGGUGAAAUUCGUAGAUAUUCGGAAGAACACCAGUGGCGAAGGCGGCUUACUGGACCAUUCUUGACGCUGAGGUACGAAAGCGUGGGGAGCAAACAGG
rnacentral:rRNA from 1 species